rnacentral:tRNA from 1 species
UCUUCCGUAGUAUAGUGGUCAGUAUGCUUGUCACGCUUGAGACCCGGGUUCAAUUCCCGGCGGGAGAG